UUGUCGCGUGUCGCAUGCUGGCUCAGCCCGAGCUUUAGUUCAAGAGGUGAGGAAGGGGUUGCUGCCUCACUGUAAUCUGACGCAAUUAAUUUUGUGACGUUUUUGUCUGGAAAAAGAAAAAAAUAGAACAGAAGAAGAGCGGUCACCAGGGAGAACGGUUGGGCGGGAAAAGGAAUUCGUUGUGAGAACGGAGCCAUAUUGAACUGUGAGCACGUUUAUGUAACAUCUAUCUGUGGGGAUAUUUCAGGGUACGGACGGAGAAGGGAGGGAGUGGUACUUGGUAGAUGUAGGUGUCCCCUUCUGUCCCCGACCCAUUGUUUUAUAUUCCCUCCCUUGUUGCUUUUAUAUCAUUUGUUUUGUUUUUUGUUUGUUUGUUUCUUUAUUAUUAUUAAAUGUGUAUUUGUAGUGUUCUCACGUGUGCGUGUCGUUUGUUUUGCACUGGAGAGCUAUUGGAUCCGCUGCAAUACGCGACAACCCUAGCAGCAUCGAAAGCCAUAAGUCAAUGGUCCCAUGAAUUUUGUCCCAGAUGACCUCGAAGGUCCGGUUCUUACUGGAUGUCCUAAUAAUAGCAACUACUUUUAGCCAAUGGCAUGCGUACACAGCGACCGUGGCCGCCAUUUUCAAAUUUUGUUUCUAUUCGCCAUAAGUGUUCUCCAGGACAAUUGCAAGCAGCAUUCGACUGUUCAACAACACACUACGUUUAUAUAACUUAUUUAUACUUAAGUAAAUAUACUAUUUAUUUAUUAAUUCCAACCAGCUAGGCAUCCAUGUCCGAAUGCAAUGCAGAAUAUCAAGCUCAUCAGAGAAGGAUUAGAGCACAAGUUAACAAAUACAUGAAAGCGAUAAAUGCAGAAGUUGUCCAGAAAGAAGAAUUAAAGUCGGGCUCAGCAGUUCUGAACCCUAGCAAUUUGAAAAUUCUUUAGUCGUAAUUAAUGAUGCAGAGACUAAGGAGCUGUCAGAAUUUCCUCAAAUAAAUUGCCAUUACGAUUUAUCUGGCGAUAUUUCAUCAGCUGUUAGCAUCCAUACGCGAUCGGGUUCAGCUUCGCAAAAUCUAGAUCAGGAUCAAAACGAAACAGAAGAAAUGGAAUGGAAUUCUUUUGUUGAUUGUUUAGAUCAGGAAGAUCAAAGUGAAUCAGACAGCGACACUGAAUUAUUACAGAAUAGCGAGUGGAUUUCAGAAAACGAUUUGUAUCAGGAUUUAACACUGGGCAAGCCAAUGUAACAUUAUAAUUAGUUCUUUGUCUCAUUUACUGAGUAUUCUACGUAAUUACCAUCCAUCUCUAUGUUGUGUUUAACACCUGCAUUUGAACUAUCAGUGGAAAUAUGCUGUACACAUACAUAAUUUAUUUAUGCUUGCUUUACACAUCUAUUUAACAUCAGGCUUUGCAUAUUUAGGAUCAAAUGCCUACAAACUGCAUGUUUUUUCAGCAGAUGACCUUAUUCCAUGUUGUUGAGGUUUUGGAAGAAGCAGAAGAAAGUUUAAAGAGGCCAUGCAGUAGCUGUAAUUCCAGACAGCUGGCUGCUAGCAUUUUUAAAGAUUCCAGUGGUCGCAAAAUCUGUUUAAGCAGAUGCAAGCUUCAUUAUUAAAGCUAAAACACCAGAUGACUCAUGGCCUAUGCAUCCAGUUCUCCUGCACAAGUCAUUAAGAGAAAGGAAGGAGAUAAAAAGAUGAUACCUGGACUGUUGGAACACUAUAACAGGUAACUACCAAGCAGCUAGCCAAAUCUGCGAGAGACUGAAAGAAAUGUUGGAGGUGGAGAGUGAUGACUCAAAUACUCCCACUCAAACAAAAAGGACACGGAUAACUCCGAUUCGAUUUCGGGAUGCACAGCUAACAGACAGCAAAGGAGAGAAGAAUGCCAAGGAAUCACUAUGUGAUGACUAUUCAAUGCAGCAGUGUCCACCACCAUUGCCAUACUCUCUGCCACUAGUAGUUGUCAGCCCAAGGGUGUCCCCAAGUAGCAGCUAUCAACAAAGUACUAUUUCACCUUUGCCUUCACACCUCCAGCGCUCAUUCUCUGGUUUUUGUCCUGCUAGCAUAGGGACCCACAACCCCUUGGAAGCUCAACUAGAGAAACUUGGGACAGCAGCAACUGUCUCUCCUGGAAGAGAUGAGAGAUGAUAUAAAAGAUGUGAAAAGGAGGCUUGCAAGGAUGGAGAAACAACACCAGGAAAUGGAGGUGACAGGAGGAAAAUUGCCAUAAGGGUUCCAGUUUCCCUUACAGUCUUCAAAGGAUGUUGACCGUCUGGAGUGGGAUUUGAAGACAGACCCGGGAAAACGGACACGCUUGGAAUGCCAUUUGGCGAUGUGUGGAAUAUUCACUUUAAAGCAUGUGGUGAGGAACAUACUAUCGGUGUUAUUUUCAACUGACUUAGCCUGGUGUUAUACAGCUUUAAUGUGUCUGAAAGGGAAGAAGGGACUCAAGAACCACCCCUUUAUUUUACAAACAAUUCAGGAUGCUGCAAGAAAAAGUUAUCCAGAAGUUACAGAUGCUGACCUGCAGGUGCAUAUAUCAACUUGGUUAGCUGGUGCUCAGGAUCGAGAGAAUAGCAGAAGGGAAAGGGCUGAGCACAGCCUGUACAAGUCAGUAAAUUGUUAUGGGGUGGACGAUGAUUAAAGCUGUACAUCUUUACUGCCGAAAAAAAACCUGUUAGGUUUCACAAGAUUUUUUUUUAAUCAGCUAUUUAUAAAAGUACAUUUUAAAUUUGCAUAUUUUUUUUAAAUGGUUGUAGUUAAUACCAGAAGCUUCAAUCCAGCCUGGAACCGUUUAUAUUUAAUUUCAUGGAUUUUAUUUAUUAUAAGAUAUGUCUGUUGAAGCUUAAAUCAAUCCUUUUUGCUCAUCAUUUGAUAUAGUGUCAUAGAUCUUUGAACCUUUUCUUUGGUAAAAAUCUAAUUAGUGUAAAACUGCAAUUUAAUUUGAAUGUUUUGUCAGUGGGUACAUGUUUUUGCUUUUUCUACACCUCAUAAUCAAAUAACUAAUGUCACGAGGAAACAUUUUUUAUGUAUUUAAUUGAGACAGUGCUUCACAAAUUGUAUAUUUUUAAUUAUUUUUUUUUAAUUACCUUGCUUUUUAUUCUUAUUUUCACAGACAUUUCAACUUCAAUAAACGUCAGUAAAAGACAAAUCAUGUUUGUUUGUUUUUUUUUGUGUAACAUUUUGCAUUUUUUUUUUUUUGCGUGUUUUUGCUGGUCUGGCAGAUGAAACUGUAGCUGUGCUGGAGGUGUGUUAAUAUAUGAUAUGGAAUAUAUUCUAUGCUCAUCUUUACAUAAUUACACCAGUCAUGGACACCUUUGUGGUGGCUGUCAUCUCAGCAGAUUGUUUCAUUUGAAGUGAAAAGAAACACAUUGUUUUCAACAUCUUUGCAGCUCUUCCAAGAUUAAACAUUUCACAUUUAACUCACUAAUGGUAAAACAUCCUUAUUUAUCUCACUGAUAGUAAAGAGACUUAUUGAUAUAUUUAACUCACUGAAACUGCUGGUUUUAUUGUUUUUACAGAACGUGAAUGCGAACUCAGUAUUCUACGGUGUUAUGUACAUUCCUAUUGGUCAAUCACCAGUGAUGUGUCCGACUUUUGGACAGCCAGCUGUGUUGUGCUUGUGGCAACGCGGUCUCUGUCAUCCAUGCCAGGUAGUCUAUUGUUCCCACCUUUAUUAACUCCAUGGUUACGGACUUUUACAGUCAGCAACAAGAUAGUCGUCACGUACCAGGGUACUCUUGUUCCUAGCACCCGUAAUAUGCCCGUUUGCACCUGUAAAAGUCGGCUUGCACUUGACCCAGAACACCCAUCCACCUGUCUCAUGCCCCAUUUUUAUGUCUUUACAGUGGGGUCAGCGUCUUUAACGCCCACUGCUGUCAGUGCAACGUCAGCAUAGUGGUUUGUGAGACACGAAUUGAGGUGAACUGCACUUUUGUGACCCGAGAAAGUGGAGUCUUAUAAAGCAAGAUAAAAAAACAAAGCAAACUGCAUAAAUAAUUAUUAACAAAUCAUAACAUAAAAGAAGUGAAAUAUGUUGCUUUGACGGCAGCAUAAAACAAAAUUAAUAUAAGAUAGUCAGAUAGAUGAGACAGAGAGACGAAGAAAGGAAGAGACAGAAUAAACUGUACUGACCUGUAGUCUAGAUGCGGCUUGUAAACCAGAGAGCUACAUACAAGAUGAAAAUCAGGGACCUAUUAGUUCAUUGUUCGUAGAAUGUAUUACAACCUACUCAGGGACCUAGUAUCCGAGACCUUCCUUACAAUACGACUCCUUCUGCAGGUGUUAGCCUGUCCUUGGAGACGAAUACUCUUAGUCCUGUCAUCAACUUUAGAACGGGACUUUGAUUAAAACUUUCUUUUGGUGGUUAUAAUCUUUGGCUGGACAGCUUGGGAUUAAAAAAAAAAAUAAAUGGUAUGCAGUGGUUGACUAGAAACAGAAGAUAUUUAGGGUCACGAUAGGCCGAAGGUAUAGCAGUAGUUUGUGCGAAAUCUGACGUUCAUCAGGACAAACUGUAAGUAAUCAAUUUGUGAAUUUUAAUAUAGGGCAUGGGCUGCAAAAAAAAAAAAAAAAAAAGAAAAAACAAACAAAACAACAACAACAAAAAACAAAACAAAACAAAAGACAAAACAAAAAACAGAUAACAAUAUACCAGUCCAAACUUUUGACCAGUAACACGUUGAAUUAUAAUUUUUACGUCUGUUUUACAAUGCAGACACGAGCAUAUGAAAAAAUUCUAUUAUUCCAUGUGUUGAAUGUUUUUUCCCCCUUGGCUUCUGUUCAAGCAGCCUAUGACAAAAACAAUGGUGUACUUAAAAAAAAAUUAUAAUCAUUGUCUUCUUUCUCUCGGUGUGUGAGGAUUUGUUGAGAUGAGAAAAAGGGUAAAGGUCAUCUGUCUCACAAUCCUGUUUUUACUCUUAUCAGAUCUUGUGUCGCAGUUUAACCUUGCGAAGGUUAGCUUAGUGAAAAUAGUUUUCACAGGCAAACGGUGACAUACAAGCUAUCUGUUGCUAGGCAACGGGGGCGGGUAAUAUGUACAUCCUUUUCAGGUCCCAGCCAGUCGACUGUAUGAACAGUCAUAUCAGGUCGUAUGGUGAGGGGAGAGAACAAGAAAGUGCUGUAGACUCAGCGUCGUCAAGAGUUAUAUCCCUUUAAAUUCAACUCGUGAAAUAUAUCUUGACGAUGUCGGGAAUCUUUGAGGAUACAGUCGGACCUCGAUAAGUCGAACUCAAAGGGACCCGAAAAAAUAAAAUAAAAUAAAAUAAAAUAAAAAUUCGACUUACGGAGUUUUUGAGUUAUGGCAAAUGGCGUAAUAGGCACAGGUUAAUCAAGGACAAUGUUUAUCCGGCUUAAUUACUGUAUUAUAACCGUUUAUUAUAUUAUUGUUUUAUACGGAUGCAUGUAGUACAGUACUGCACUAUCGAACAGUGCAAUCAAAUGAUGACUGUAACUGUUUCUGCGAUUGACAACGUUGUAAACUGAGCACGGGCACAACCACAUCGACACCAACUCUACUCAGUGCUCGUCCCGAUAAGAGACUGACAAAGUUGAAAGGAAAAUGGGGUAAAAGCGUCUUUUUUGUGACAGUUUGCAACAUAGUUUGCAACAGUUUGAGACAUAGUUGCGUCUGGCUGGUGAUGACUCGAAAUUCGACUAACGGAGGUUGGAAGCCAAAGAAACUUCGAGUUAAGGAGAUCUAAAAUACACUGGUCUUAUGGAAUUUAGCAGGGAACUAACACUUAAUUCGAUAUAGGAGGUUUUGUCGCGUGUCGCGUGCUGGCUCAGCCCGAGCUUUAGUUCUAGAGAGGAGUAAGGGGUUGCUGCGUCACUGUAAUCUGACGCAAUUUUGUUUUGUGACGUUUUUGACUGGAAAAAGAAACGAUCAGAAGGAGAGCGGUCACCAGGGAGAAAGGUUGGGCGGGAAAAGAAAUUCCGUUGGGAGAACGGAGCCAUCUUAAACUGUGAGGAAUUCCGCUGUGAGAACUGAGCCAUAUUGAACUGUGAGAAAUUCCGUUUGGAGACGAAGCCAUCUUGAACUGUGAGAAAUUCCGUUGGGAGACGAAGCCAUCUUGAACUGUGAGAAAUUCCGUUGGGAGACGAAGCCAUCUUGAACUGUGAGAAAUUCCGUUGGGAGACGAAGCCAUCUUGAACUGUGAGAAAUUCCGUUGGGAGACGAAGCCAUCUUGAACGGCUGUGAGGCAUGGGUAUGCUAUGGCAACCAGACACAGUACAAGGUGUGUGUUGUGGACUGUAAGGAGGACACCAUGACUGACAUUCACAUACAGUUUUCUUGCCAUGUAAUUAGAUUGUGUGCCAUCCCAAACGCCAUCUUGUUUGGUACACUUUCUUGGAAUAUUUGCUGCUACAGAGAAGCUGACCGCAUUCUCAUUUGGGAACAACAGUUGCAUGAUGCUGUUCUCUCACUCUGCGUAUUUGAAGAUAGUGGAACUUGGCGUGUUUUUGCUGGUCUGGCAGAUGAAACUGUAGCUGUGCUGGAGAACGUGAAUGUGAACUCAGUGUUCUACGAUGUUAUGUACAUUCCUAUUGGUCAAUCACCAGUGACGUGUCCGACUUUUGGACAGCCAGCUGUGUUGUGCUUGUGGCAACACGGUCUCUGUCAUCCAUGCCAGUACAUUAGAUGCUAUGGACAGCUUCACAGUGUCAUCCAACCUGUAUGAUCACAUUCUGACACUGCAACCUGGACUUCUGGGUGUCUGGAUCUCAGUGCAUGGAUCAUCAAUCUUAGAACUCCGGGAACCUGAGGCUUUGGUGUGCAAGAUGUUGUACAACACUCGUGCAAGUCGAUGCCCUAAUCUUCGCAAUAAUGAUGAGAUGUACUUCAACAAAGCCCGCAUUACUUGUAUCCUGCCUCUUGACUACACAGUCUGGGAUGGAACAGGAGAGGGAAACUUGAUCACAUAUGAUGUCUUCACACAUCAAGGCUCAAAGUCACCCUCAGACUGUUCCUCUUUCGUCGGUUCCUAUUCAGACAACUUUUCAGCCCUGAUGAGUGGGAAAGAGGAGAUGACCAAUCUGUCUUCUUGUGCUGAGGCUUACAAUCCUAUGGGGUGCAUCAGCUAUAUUUAGCCCAGGUAGACUCUAACACUGACCCUCUCAGACUAUCUGAGCGGAUUCUCUCCUGCAGCGAUUUCUUGACAAGCAGUGGCAAUGAGUCAGUGAUCCAAGGAGGACAAGAUUCCAUCAGCAUGUUUUUUACCCAGCCGACUAAUAAGUCAAAUAUCAGCAAGAACAAUUUAUUGCAAGAAACAAGUGGACUUGCUCCUUCAAUUAAUGAAGAUGAUAUUGAAGGCAUAACUCCUACUCCAAGUUUUUGUUGUGACAACAUUGUUGAAGCCAAAUCAAAAAACAAAGACUCAGAGAGAUAAGAUGAGAACUUUGAAGGAAGCAGACCCUCAGAAACUGAGGAAGACGAUGAUUCUGGCGAAGUCAAGAAAUCAAAGGUCAGUGUGUGUAAAAAAGCUCGUUGUCAAUGGGCCACCGUGGAAAAUGAAGGGUCUGAGUGCCGUUGGAGACGACUGAAUUGAGGUACGGUGUUUGCCGGGGAGGCUGUACACCCGCCACCCGUCCUCAUACAAACGCUGAUCUGUUGGCAGUGCAUGCUUAAUUACGACUACGACUACUCUUUCGCUUCUUUGUGGUCUUUGUGGUGAGGCAUCCUUUGUGCACAGUGGUAUGUGCACGUGUAUCUAAAACUAUGUUUAGACUUCAGGCUGCGCAAACCUUAUUAUUAAUGAAGGUCACAUCAGUUUAGAUAUAUUCAUAUCUUGAUACUUUAUGUAUAAUAUUUUCCUUAAAAAAAAAGAAACGUAUUGGUUUGACAAGCACGGUCAUCAAAGUGUUUUGCAUUUCUUGUGUGAAUAUCAUCUUUACUGCAUGCACGACCCUGUGUCUAAGGGUGGCGCUCUAUUAUCAACGUGCCGUGGCCACUACCGUCGUCCAUGGGAAUUGUAUCAUCGCAGGUCACCGCUGUGCCCACGACCAAACCUCCACAAAAGACCCGACAGUCGUACGGAAGGUUUCAUUGUCCCACAAAAAAAAAAAAAAAAAAAAAAAACCUCCUGGAAUAAUAGAUAUAAGUGGGUGGAGCCUAGCUGGGUAUAAACCACUCUGUGGUGAACGAGCAGAGUCCUCGAUGACCCACUGCGACAACAAGGGUUAACGGUUGGUGGGAGGUUAUCCUUUAACAAGAAAGCCAAUAGAACCUGUUGUCUUCUUUCAAACUGUAAUUCGGACACCCCGACUGUUUUAAGGUAUAAUUACCUAAAGAGCAGUUUGGAAUAAUGUAGGGAUUUGGCUAAAACACUUUCGGGGGAUCGGGAGGGUCUCUUGUUUUUCAUAACAUAGAAAGAAUUUUCUUUUUAUUCACAUGCUAGUCAGCCGCCGGUGUGAACUACAGUUGAUCGAAUAUGAAUGUUGAAACUGGAGCAGAUGUAAUUAUUUAAAUAAUUAAAUAAUUAUUUAAAAUUUACUUAUUAAAAUCACGACAGUUUAAAGCAUAGGGGAAAAAUACAAAAAGAUAUUGCAGACAUCUGAAAUUCGGUCCAUAUAAUAAUAAUAUGUAUAUAUUUUGGAUCGCCUUGUGAUGACAUUUUCUCAGCAGUGUCACAACACCAUCAGGCUUCGUCGUCAGGUGUGACGGCCUCACCGCUGGUCUCGCGUGAAGCAGGGCACCCGGUAUCGAAAGCGGGCCUACAACGUUCAGUUGAUUGAGCCUGCGAAGCACUAUUUGCUUUCGAACCCGAAGAGCGAGUGCGCUUACCUAGAGAGCAACUUAUGUCCUACAGACCUACACGACAAC